rnacentral:rRNA from 1 species
GCACCAGACUCCUACGGGAGGCAGCAGUGGGGAAUAUUGCACAAUGGGGGAAACCCUGAUGCAGCGACGCCGCGUGGGUGACGAAGUAUUUCGGUAUGUAAAGCCCUAUCAGCAGGGAAGAAGAUGACAGUACCUGACUAAGAAGCCCCGGCUAACUACGUGCCAGCAGCCGCGGUAAUACGUAGGGGGCAAGCGUUAUCCGGAUUUACUGGGUGUAAAGGGAGCGUAGACGGCAGAGAAAGUCUGAAGUGAAAGCCCGCGGCUCAACCGCGGAACUGCUUUGGAAACUUUUCGGCUAGAGCACCGGAGAGGUAAGCGGAAUUCCUAGUGUAGCGGUGAAAUGCGUAGAUAUUAGGAGGAACACCAGUGGCGAAGGCGGCUUACUGGACGGUAACUGACGUUGAGGCUCGAAAGCGUGGGGAGCAAACAGGAUUAGAUACCCUUGUA